AACGAACGCUGGCGGCAGGCCUAACACAUGCAAGUCGAACGCUGUAGCAAUACAGAGUGGCAGACGGGUGAGUAACGCGUGGGAACAUACCCUUCGGUUCGGAAUAACUCAGGGGAACUUGAGCUAAUACCGGAUACGUGCGAGAGCAGAAAGAUUCAUCGCCGAAGGAUUGGCCCGCGUUCGAUUAGCUUGUUGGUGAGGUAAUGGCUCACCAAGGCGACGAUCGAUAGCUGGUCUGAGAGGAUGAUCAGCCACAUUGGGACUGAGACACGGCCCAAACUCCUACGGGAGGCAGCAGUGGGGAAUAUUGGACAAUGGGCGAAAGCCUGAUCCAGCCAUGCCGCGUGAGUGAUGAAGGCCCUAGGGUUGUAAAGCUCUUUCGUCAGGGACGAUAAUGACGGUACCUGAAGAAG
rnacentral:rRNA from 1 species